rnacentral:rRNA from 1 species
GAUGAACGCUGGCGGCGUGCUUAACACAUGCAAGUCGAACGAACCUUCGGGUUAGUGGCGCACGGGUGCGUAACGCGUGGGAAUAUACCCAUAGGUAAGGAAUAACUCACCGAAAGGUGUGCUAAUACCUUAUAAUGACUUCGGUCCAAAGAUUCAUCGCCUAUGGAUUAGCCCGCGUCUGAUUAGGUAGUUGGUGAGGUAACGGCUCACCAAGCCGACGAUCAGUAGGGGGUCUGAGAGGAUGAUCCCCCACACUGGUACUGAGACACGGACCAGACUCCUACGGGAGGCAGCAGUGGGGAAUAUUGCGCAAUGGAGGAAACUCUGACGCAGCCAUGCCGCGUGAGUGAUGAAGGCCUUAGGGUUGUAAAGCUCUUUCAAUAGUGAAGAUAAUGACGGUAACUAUAGAAGAAGCCCCGGCUAAAUUCG